rnacentral:lncRNA from 1 species
GCGUCGGAGUGCCUUUUCAGGUACCUCCCCCCCGCCAAAGCUAGAAGACCACCGGACGGCUGAAGUCAACGUGAAGACGUACGGUCAGAAAUCAGGAAAAGCGGGCAAAAACACAGAAGAAGACGUCCUCAAGGUUAGUACUUCGGUCCCAGUAAAUUUACACCGUAACAUUUUGGCGCCCACCGUGGGGCCGAGUGGCAAACCCAAAUGGCGACCACGAGGAGCA